AUGCGCGUGCUCUAUAUCGAUUAGCGUGAUGUGGGUUUAAUAACACUGACCAUUUUAUUCGAAAUAUCAUUGAACAUAUGUGUUUAUUGAUACAAUGAAACACAGUUUUGGUGAGUUUAUUUGCAUUCCAGAAGUCACAAGACUUACGCAGAAAUAUGAGUAAUGAACAAAUCUCGAACAUCUGUCAUCAGAAAGUGGGAGCUGGUCUGGAAGAGCUUGGAGAAAAGAGGGCAAAAAACAAGGAAUUCACAAAAAAAGAGCAAAAGAAGAAGAGCAUUCCUCCAAAUAUUUUGAGGGAGUGAGUUGAGAUGAAAAGAGCAGAACACAAUGAGUCCGCUCCGUUGUUGUGGCGUCGGUGAAAGCCCUGGCUCGUCUUGUCUUUGUGUUUGCUCCGAGGG
ensembl:processed_transcript